UACGGAGGGUGCAAGCGUUAAUCGGAAUUACUGGGCGUAAAGCGUGCGCAGGCGGUUUGUUAAGUCUGUUGUGAAAUCCCCGAGCUCAACUUGGGAAUUGCAAUGGAUACUGGCAGGCUGGAGUAUGGUAGAGGAAGGUGGAAUUCCCGGUGUAGCAGUGAAAUGCGUAGAGAUCGGGAGGAACACCAGUGGCGAAGGCGGCCUGCUGGACCAAUACUGACGCUCAUGCACGAAAGCGUGGGGAGCAAACAGG
rnacentral:rRNA from 1 species